rnacentral:lncRNA from 1 species
GUUUCAGAUCUGUCACACAAGGCCAUCGUAUUUUUCCUUUUAAAGAGGCAGAUUAUUUGCUGAUCACGUAACUGGAGACGUCCAGUGCAGGACUCUGCAAGAACCCUCUGUAAUUCGGUGACACCCACUCCUCAGGGCAGAGCAAAGGGUGACACUGCUUGAGAAGUGCUGGUGCUAGAUCAGGGCAGGGAAGGAACAUAUAAGCCAAGCAACAUCCACAGCUGCUCCCAAAGAAUGGACUUCACACUCAGAAGAAAAGACGUCUGGGUUGUAGGUAGCGUGUGCCUUCUCUCGUCUUCAGUUCUCUGGUGCUUGAUCCGGUUCGUGAUGACCCGGGGAGGCCACUGGCAGACUCCUGCUCUUGAGGACGUGCAGCUUUCAUGCAGCUGUUGAGAAGUCCAAACAAGUUCAGAAUCCUGAUCUUUUGUGUGUGGCCUAUAUUUUCUCUCUCUAGCAACUUGGGAAACCUUCUAUUUGUCCUUGUAUUGGGAAAAGUUUCUGCCAGAACCAAGAACCACUGUCCGUAAGUGGAGGGAAGUUCAGACUGAAGAAAGAGGCAAAACCACUUUAGGUUGAGUCUUGCUCUGUCACCCAGGCUGGAGUGCGGUGGUGUGAUCUUGGCUCACUGCAACCUCUGCCCCCCAAGUUCAAGCGAUUCUCCUGCCUUGGCCUCCCGAGUAGCUGGGACUACAGAUGGAAUCUUGCUGUGUCUCCAGGCUGGAGUGUAGUGGCGCGAUCUCGGCUCACUGCAACCUCUGCCUCCCGGGUUCAAGCAAUUCUCCUGCCUCAGCCUCCCGAGUAGCUGGGACUACAGGUGCCAGCCAUCACGCCCGGCUAAUUUUUUGUAUUUUUAGUAGAGAUGGGGUUUCACCAUGUUGGCCAGGAUGGUCUCGAUCUCCUGACCUCGUGAUCUACCCGCCUCAGCCUCCCAAAGUGCUGGGAUUAUAGGCGUGAGCCACCGCGCCCAGCCUAGUCUCUGCUUUUUUAAAAAAAAUGUUAGGACAGUGGUCCCUAAACUUGUCUGUGUAUUAGAAUCACCUGGGAAAUCUUUAAAAAUUCUAAGGACCAGGUAAAUUAAAUUAUAAUCUCUGGGAAUAGGACUGAUUUUUGUAUUUUUAGUAGAGACGGGGUUUUGCCAUGUUCACCAGGCUGGUCUCGAACUCCUGACCUCAGGUGAUCCACCCGCCUCAGCCUCCCAAAGUGUUGGGAUUACAGGUGUGAGCCACCACAUCCAGCCCAGACUAAUUUUUCUGAUGACAAAUGCUGCUUGUUGAUGUGAAUUCUGAUAUGGCACACACUUGAGCCUCACUUUGUUAGCUAUUAAUUUGUGUUACUGAAUUUACAGGCCUGGAAUACAAUUUGUGCUUCUUUUUAAAUAAAUUUCAUACUUUUUUUUUAAUGGACUUGUAAUCUACCUGAACUUGAAUUUGUUGAGGGUUUACGCUAAUGAAAAUAACAGAAAGACAAACUGUGAGAUAUAUCAUGCCAUUUAUAAUUAAUAAAUCACCAAACAGAGGC